rnacentral:lncRNA from 1 species
GGAUGAUGAUGUGUAAUUUAUAGCAACAUUUGGAAAAGUUGGACAUAUUUUCUCCAUGUUAUCUAUUAACUUAAAUGAAUUCUCAAUAUUUGUUGCCACAUGGCAAGUUUUUCUUCACCCUCACUAGUAUGUAUUCUUUUUCUUCCCCUCAAUAAACUUUCAAUGUAUAUUUUAACGGUUCCACUAAUAAAACUUUCAAUUAAUCCCAAUGUUUGUUGCCACAUGGUAAGUUUUCCUUCACCCUUACUAGCAUGCGACUCUUUUUCUUCCCCUCGCUAAACUUUCAAUGUACAUUUUAACGGUUCCACUAAUAAAACUUUCAAUUAAUGUAUUUAAAUGGUUCCACUAACAAAGCUUUGAAUUAAUAUAUUUAAAUAGUCCCACUAUCAUGUAUUAUUCCAUUUCUAUCCACAAUUAUUCAUUAUGACCAUUUCCAUUCCCUUCACUAUACUUUUAAUUAAUGCAAACGAUUCUACUACCAAACUUUCAAUUACUAUGCUUAAAUGAUCUCAUUAUCAUCUUACAAUCCUAACAUUUUUAUCUUCAAUUAUUCAUUAUGGAAAUUUUCCUUCCCUCCACCAGAUUUUUAAUUUUUUAUCUCCAAUAUAUUCAUCAAUUCUUUAUCUCUCAUUUUUUGCUAUACACUAUUGCCUCCUUCCCUCGCUUCCUCCCCGUCUCUCACUAAUGCGCGCCCACUUCUCCUUUCCGCCAUGACGUUUGGUGAAUAUAUCAAGUGAGAUACACAAGAGAAUGUUUAAUAUUUUCUUGUUAUUAAUUAUUAUUACAAUUUCUACCCGCUGCAAAGCGCAGGUCCCUUCACUAGUAAUAAAUGU